rnacentral:rRNA from 1 species
GAUGAACGCUGGCGGCGUGCCUAAUACAUGCAAGUCGAGCGAACGGACGAGAAGCUUGCUUCUCUGAUGUUAGUGGCGGACGGGUGAGUAACACGUGGAUAACCUACCUAUAAGACUGGGAUAACUUCGGGAAACCGGAGCUAAUACCGGAUGAUAUUUUGAACCGCAUGGUUCAAAAGUGAAAGACGGUCUUGCUGUCACUUAUAGAUGGAUCCGCGCUGCAUUAGCUAGUUGGUAAGGUAACGGCUUACCAAGGCAACGAUGCAUAGCCGACCUGAGAGGGUGAUCGGCCACACUGGAACUGAGACACGGUCCAGACUCCUACGGGAGGCAGCAGUAGGGAAUCUUCCGUAAUGGGCGAAAGCCUGACGGAGCAACGCCGCGUGAGUGAUGAAGGUCUUCGGAUCGUAAAACUCUGUUAUUAGGGAAGAACAUAUGUGUAAGUAACUGUGCACAUCUUGACGGUACCUAAUCAGAAAGCCACGGCUAACUACGUG